CAAGAAAACGAAAACGUGGAUAAUGAGGAACAAUGUUUCUGCAUAACAUAUUCUGCAUAACAUAUAGUGAAAAAAUCAGAGUUUGCUGAUGCAGAAUCAGAGGAAACAUAACCUCAAGACCAAUUCGAGGUAAUUUAAGCAGGGAAAAAAAAAACAUCUGUGCAUCGAUGUCAAAUUAAUAGUCCUGUAAAAGGAGGGCAGGAAGAAAAGGUAGAGCAAAUUAAGGAAAGAAGAAGAGGCAAUAUCUGAAAAACAUGUCUAUAUGAAGCUGAGGACCUUACAGACAUGUUUAAAAAGAAAAAUGGAGGAGAGGGGAAGGGGAAGAAGUGGUAUUUUGGAAAUGACAAACAGAGGUAGGACAAUACAUGACAGGCCUCUGGGGAGUCACAGCUAAAUCCUUGGAGACUCCAGGAAACAGCUGAACCCAGGAGAAGGCAGAUGGGGAGGUGCUGCUGGGGACAGUGCUGUGGUGGCACAAGGACUAUGGUGACAUCACUGAGCAACAGACUGUGAUGCCACCAAGCUUUGGGCGCUGGCAGGGCCUGGCCCAGUCAGUCUCGUGCCUGGACUCCUGCCGAGCGAGUGUGUGAGGCUUGGAGGUGGAGCGAGGAUUUUGCUUGUGUGUUGGGCUGUGCUUUGGGGACUGCUGGCAGCUGCUCUCAGUGCCCAUCCCUACAGCCAUCACCUGUAAUCCCCUGGCCUGCCUGGCUCAGGCAGCCGGGGCCCCACAAAGUGCACGUGCAGCAGCACAGGUGAGCCGGGUGAGAACACAUCCCACAGGGUGGCAAUGGGGUAAUCGAUGGAACAAGGGGAGCUGCCAGGGCCAGGGCUGAAGUCUGACACAGCGAGGGUGUGGGGCAUGCGGCAACACAGGAGUGGGUCAGGGAGGAUAGACUGCUG
rnacentral:lncRNA from 1 species